UGAGUUUGGGAGUAACACUGCAGUUGGAGGCUUGCUCAUCACUCAGUUGAAAGAAGUAGAUCUCUGGUUUGUUUUUAAAACUGUACUGGUGGUCAGAUGCAUGGAUUUGUAAUCCACUGUAAUAUAAGUAAUCAAGACCAAGGACUACUCGGUAGGCCAGUGCUUUGGGAGAGAGCACUGCCACUGGCAAGGUACAGACAUUAUUGCUUAGGUCAAUGGUUACCUCAGCCCAACCAAGAGGAGUCUCUGUUUCCCCAUUAGCCAGGAAUAGUGGACCAGUGGUCCAAGGCUUUAAGUCAUGUUUAGGCCUGUUAAGUGCCCUCCAUACGCUAUCAAGAACCAGAGUGUAACUAGCACCUGUGUCAACGAUAGCCCUGCCGCUCCAUGUGUCAAUGACAACAGGGACCACCAACUGUUGGGGUAUGCCACAACUACCAGGCCCUUGCUCAGUCUCAGCUCUAGCUGCCUGCCGUUUUUCUGCAGAACCUUUGGAGGCAGAAGUCACAGACAUUUUUCCACCAUGCGGUUCCGGCUUUGGAGAUCUUUGCAUGUUUUUGGAAGAUGGGCCCGAUGACUGAUGAUCUCCAGCAGGGGACUGGUACUGGGGACAUGAACCAGGUCUUUCUCUAGCUGGUGACCAAGCCUCACAAGCUCGUCCACGGAAUUGACUCGUCCACGGAGAUGACUUGCAAGCUGCGGCCUAACACUCUUCAGGAUCAUUUUCACUAUCUCCAAAUCAGCAAUGUCAGGAUUCCAAUGCUUACAAAGAGCUCGAUAUGAAAAUGCAAAGUCUCGAAUAGACUCUUGUUCUCCUUGCCUCCGUUUCCUCACCCGGUCUGCUAACUCGUCUUCAUAGUCUUCGGACAAGAAAGCGGAAAGGAAGUCCUUCUGAAACUCAGCCCAAGACACAACCUGAGUUCUGGCAAUCUCCCACCAAUCGUGAGCGGUGCCAUGCAGAACAGUCCUAAAGCUGGCAAGGAUCUCUGCAUCAGACAGAGGAUGAACAGCCAGAAAGUCUUGACACUUGGACAAAUACAGAAGAGGAUCCGGAUCAUCAUGUGAUCUGCCAUAGGAUAUUAUGAGUGGCAAGGAAACUCUGGUGAUGGCCAUGAAUGUCCUGCUGAACUUCACUUUGCAGCUGUUCCACCAUAAAUCGGACUUCACUGAGCUGUGCGGUGUCCUGACUUUUCAUCUCCUCAGCAAUCAUAGGCUUUAUUCCCUUUAACAUUUUGUCUAAUUCAACAUCUAGUUGGUCUUUAUGUUCUGCAUUAGUUUUAUCAAGUUUAAUAAACUGCUCCUCGGUUUUGUCAGCAAAAACCUUCAGUUUGGCCUCUAAAUGAAACCGACUCCGUCCCAUUUGCUUUGACAGAUCACACACCUGACUAUUGCAGUAAUCUAAUUUCUCAAAAAGUAAAGACCAGUUCUCUGCAUGGCCCAAAGACUGCAAAGCCAGUCUUCCCAGGGUUUUUCCAGGCGUAGGAAGAGUAGUAGGCAAGUCACGCUGAGCUGAGGGUGCAGAGGAACAAGUGGAUGGAGAAGUAGCCAUCUCCAUAUCAGGUUCUUGAGCAUCUCCUGGUGGUGGAGAACUGCCUGGAAGCAAUCUUAGGGGCAUAGAACCAGGACAAUCAGACAUUCCUGAAACUUUGGGUAAAUUUGGUGGGCUAGUCAGACGACUAGGUAGAGUAGUG